rnacentral:misc_RNA from 1 species
UGUUUCAGAGAAUUUCUUGACAGGUCCUACACCUCCAGAUAUGUGCAAGAAUGGAAAAAUGACUGACCUUCUUAUCCUGCAGAACAAGUUCACAGGCCAAAUCCCAGAUAGCUAUGCGAAUUGUAAGUCUCUGAUUCGUUUACGUCUAAACAACAAUUCACUUUCAGGCACUGUCCCUGCAGGAAUAUGGGGUUUGCCAAACCUUAUUAUCAU